rnacentral:lncRNA from 1 species
CUUGGUGUACUCUGCAGCGGUGUCCUGGACAUGCUGCGCGGCCUCGGUGGACUUCUCCUUGGCGGCGUCGGCAGUCUCGGUGGCCGUCUUCUUCACGGCCUCCGUCUUCUCGCCGAGAAAGCUGGCCGUCUGGUCUUUGCCCUCGACGGCGCGAUCCUGACCGGCUUGCACCGUCUCGGACACCUUCCCCAUGGCCUCGCCGCCCAUCUUUUUGGCCGCCUCGGUGGUCUCGGAGGCAGCCUUCGUGACAGCCUCGCUUUUCUCGCCAAGGAAGCUGCCGGUCUGGUCUUUUGCCUCGACGGCACGGUCCUGGAUGGACUGCCCCGUCUCGGACGCCAUCUUCGUGGCCUCGCCGGCCUUAACUUGGGUCGUCUCCACCACCUCCCCCGACUUCUCUUGUAACCAGCUAGACAUUUUCUAAGUCGAUGAAGUGUUGGUGCCUAAUAAUUUGUGUUCUUCUUUUCUUGCGCUUGUUGUGGAGAGACGUGUGUUCUUCCUUUAUAUAGGCCAUUUGCCCCCUUUGCCGAGGUUGAUAUUGAGGAGAAUAUUACAUUGCUUUCGAAGUAUCUUGGGCUUAUAUGAGAUAUUUUGUUGCCAUGGUAUAUGUCAUUGUCGCCACUUGUCCAUUCAGGAUUCAGCUGUAUAUAUAUGCACAAUGGUAUGUCGACACAACACAGUUGCUUAAGAUCUGUCCAUUGAUAUGUGCUUUUAAAGACAUUUUUCUGGAGUAACAAAUGUGGUUGAAAAAAUGUAUCGCGACCAAGACGAAAAGACUGCUCAAAAAAUGACCAAGACGAAAAGAAAAACGAAAGAAAUUAAUGUUAAUUUGCUAAUUAAUAGCAUUGCAUGUAAUGAAUUAACUACUGCAUGUCGUCUUAGUUGGUCUUAAGUCAUUAAAAACAUAUACGUCCCACGUCUCUUAUUGGUUGAUUCCUUUAUUCAUGUCAAAAAACAAGAAAUAAGAUGAAAGUUAAUGCCUAGCGCCUAAGUGUUUUGGGAUUAUAUGAUUUUCGUAAAAUGACUUGUACACGAAGACGAAGGGAAUACCAUGUUUUACUCAUUUAUCGUCAGACCUUGAGUUUAACACUUUGUAUUUAUAAAUACGAGAAUGCAAACAACCAAACAAAUAAAAUUCACACCACACAUACAAAAUGACUCAUACAUGAAAAUAAUAUGAAACCUGUUGAAAUUGGUAGUGGGCUUUAGGCCCAUUAGAGAAUUUUAGAAAAAUCUCCAAGGGCCCAUGUAGGUGGUGGCAUGACAAGGUGGUGUGAAGUUUAGUCCCACCCCGCUAGUGGAGGAGAAGUUGGACCCCUUUAUAAGGGUCUCUCUUCCACAUGCUAUUGGAGAGUGAGAAGAGAAGGUGCCCUCGCGCACUCCUCCUCCGCCGCCCACCUCGCCUCAUCGCGACGCGGGUUGCGGGAAUGAGCCGAGCCGAGCUCAUACCUACGCGCUUAUUUUUGCCGGUCAGGAACGGAGAAUACGUAACGGACACGACACGAUCCGAGACGUCGGACCGUGGGCUGUUACCGACUCGGACGUGGGUUCGGCCCACGUCUCUCCACCCAGCCGCGUUUAUAAGCAGGCUAUCGCCUACCCUAGCCGUCACGAGAAUCAGAUCGCAUCUGCCUCACGCGUUCGUUCCUUUUGCUGCUGCUGCCUCUGGCGACUCCGUCCCGUUUACCGCGUACACGGUCGACGGGAGAGCACGCCUCCGAAACCCCGCCUCUCCGGUUCCUGUACGGGAGAGGGGCGAUUUGGUUUUUGGGGAGCGAUCACGCGACUGCUCACCUCCGUCUGUCUGCUUCAUCUACGUUCGCGUCGCCCUCGUCAUCGCCAUGUCUUCACCAAGCGAAGCUGACCGUCUCGUCUGCGAGAAGGCCGAAGCCGAGAAGAAGGCGGCAGAGGAUGUUGCCGCUGCCACCGCUUCUGCUACGGCCAAUUGGACGAUCGGAGGGUAUGAUAUGUUUAUCUCUCUCCUAUUUUUGUCUGCACUAGUAGUACUGCCUGUAUGCGUAGAUGUUUUUACUAUAUGCGUAGUACUUGCUAGUAUACUCUGUGAUCAGUAUGUCAUGAACCUAGUCAAUGCCAUGUUAGUAAUUAUUUCAUGGAUUAAUCUACUCGGAAAAUUGCCUAUUUACUCAACAAUCCAAAAACCUAAUUUGUGUAGGAAUUUUUCGAGUAAUGGUUUUGCUGCUGCACUGAAACCGGAUAAGUUUACCGGUACUUUUUUCAAGCGUUGGCAAACGAGAACCACCUUAUGGCUCACGACUAUGAACGUGUUCUGGGUAGCCGGUGUCACUCCUACGGAAACUAUCACUCCUGAACAGGAGAAGAUGUUUAAGGAGGCCACCGUCCUAUUCCUUGGAGCAGUCAUUAGCGUGAUCGGAGAUAAGCUGGUUGAUGCAUAUUUACAUAUGCAUGUUGCCAAGGACUUGUGGGAGGCGCUCGAAUCUAAAUUCGGGGCCACCGAUGCUGGGAGUGAGAUGUAUGUUAUGGAGCAGUUCCAUGAUUACAAGAUGGUUGACAACCGUUCUGUAUUGGAACAGGCUCAUGAGAUAAUAUGCAUAGCUAAAGAACUUGAGGUUCUUAAGUGAAAUUUGCCGGGCAAGUUUGUCGCGGGAUGUAUAAUUGCUAAGCUCCCUAAUUCCUGGAGGAACUUUUCUACUACUCUGAAACAUCAGAGGCGUGAGUUCUCAGUAGAGGACAUCAUCGGCCAUCUGAGUGUUGAGCAGAACUCGAGAGCAAAGGACUCCAAUGGAAAAGCGGUGGAAAGCUCUUCUGCUGCCAAUAUGGUACAUCAGAGGAACUUCAAUUCCCACAAGCCCAAGGGAAAGAAUUCUGUCCAACAGAAUACCGACUUCAAGAAGAAGGGAAAGAAGACCUUCAAGAAGAAUAAGAAGGGAGAUGGCUGCUAUACUUGUGGAUCAGAGGAACAUUGGGCGAACAAAUGCCCAAACAAGUACAAGAAGGCGGCGCAGGACUCCAAGUCUGCCAAUAUGAUUGUGGGCAACAAUGAAAGUGGUGCACCUGGGUACGGUAAUUUACUUACUGUAUUUAUAGUUUGUCAGUCCACCGAUUGGUGGGUGGACACGGGUGCAAAUAUUCAUGUGUGUGCUGACUUAUCAUUGUUCUCUUCUUAUCAUGCCAUCGGUCGCGGGUCCGUAUUGAUGGGGAAUGGCGCGAGUGCUUCUGUUCUUGGUGUUGGCACGAUCGAUCUGAAGUUUACUUCGGGAAGGAUCGUGCAGCUGAAGAACGUGCAGCAUGUCCCCGCCAUCAAGAAGAAUCUCGUUAGUGGCUCCCUUCUGUGUAGAGAAGGGUUUAAGUUGGUAUUCGAGUCUAAUAAAUUAGUAGUUACGAAAUAUGGACUUUUCGUUGGAAAAGGUUAUGAAUGCGGAGGUCUGUUCCGCCUUUCUCUUGCAGAUUUUUGUAAUAAAGUCGUGAACAAUAUUCAUUCGAGUGUUAAUGAAUCUGAAGUUUGGCAUUCGCGUCUUUGUCACAUAAGUUUCGGUGUUAUGUCGCGGCUAGCAAAACUGAAUUUAAUCCCAACUUUCACUUUAGCCAAAAGUUCUAAGUGUCAUUCAUGUGUGCAAGCAAAGCAACCUCGCAAGCCUCACAAGGCUGCAGAGGAGAGACACUUGGCACCAUUAGAACUCAUACAUUCUGAUCUUUGUGAGAUGAAUGGUGUGUUGACUAAAGGUGGAAAGAAAUAUUUCAUGACAUUGAUAGAUGAUUCCACUAGAUAUUGCUAUGUGUAUCUGUUAAAUACUAAAGAUGAGGCUCUACACUACUUUAAAAUCUAUAAGGCAGAAGUUGAGAAUCAACUUGAAAAGAAAAUUAAAUGAGUCCGGUCUGAUCGUGGUGGAGAGUACUUCUCAAAGGAAUUUGAUUCAUUUUGUGCGUAACACGACAUUAUUCAUGAGAGGACGCCUCCCUAUUCACCCUAAUCAAAUGGGGUUGCCGAGCGGAAAAACCGUACUCUAACUGAUUUGGUUAACGCCAUGUUAGAUACAUCGGGUUUAUCCAAGGCAUGGUGGGGGGAGGCUAUAUUGACCGUGUGUCAUGUCCUGAAUAAAGUUCCUACAAAAGAUAAUGAGGUCACUCCCUACGAGGAGUGGUCGAAGAGAAGGACGACGCUCUCGUACUUACGUACUUUGGGCUUCUUGGCGAAAGUCAAUGUACCGAUCCCCAAGAAGCGUAAGCUUGGACCAAAGACUGUGGACUGCGUUAAUUUGGGAUACGCUAAGAAUAGCGUAGGCUAUAGAUUUCUAGUAGUGAAAUCUGAGGUACCUGACGUGAAGGUCGGUACAAUAAUGGAGUCAAGGGAUGCUACAUUCGUUGAGGAUAUAUUUCCCAUGAAAGAUAUGCAAAGCACUUCUAGACAGGAAUCUGAGAUAACUCCUGAGCCUGCCAUUCCUAUGGAAUACUAUGAACAAACACAUGAUGAAAAUCCUGAGGAGGAUGACGAGGAAGCCCGUGGUAGGGGCAAGAGACAAAGGACUGCAAAGACCUUUGGUGAUGAUUUCUUCGUAUGCCUCGUGGAUGAUAAUCCCACUUCUAUUUCAGAAGUGUAUGCUUCUCCAGAUGCUGAUUACUGGAAAGCUGCGGUCCGUAGCGAGAUGGAAUCCAUCAUGGCUAACGGGACAUGGGAAAUCACUGAUCGUACCUAUGGUUGCAAACCAUUGGGAUGCAAGUGGGUGUUCAAAAAGAAGCUUAGGCCCGAUGGUACGAUUGAAAAGUACAAGGCUAGGCUUGUGGCCAAGGGCUAUGCCCAGAAAGAAGAAGAAGAUUUCUUCGAUACUUAUUCACAUGUGGCUAGACUGACCACCAUUCGAGUACUACUCUCAUUGGCGGCCUCUCAUGGUCUUCUCGUUCAUCAAAUGGAUGUUAAGACGGCUUUCCUGAAUGGAGAGCUAAAUGAGGAAAUCUAUAUGCAACAGCCAGAUGGCUUUGUGAUAGAAGGUCAGGAAGGAAAGGUGUGUAAGUUACUGAAAUCUUUAUAUGGUCUGAGACAAGCACCUAAGCAAUGGCAUGAGAAGUUUAAUACAACUCUGACAUCUGUUGGCUUCGUUGUUAAUGAAGCUGACAAAUGUGUAUACUAUCGCCAUGGUGGGGGCGAAGGAGUUAUAUUGAGCUUGUAUGUUGAUGGCAUACUGAUAUUUGGAACCAACCUCAAAGUAAUUGAGGAGGUCAAGUCUUUUCUGUCUCAAAACUUUUAGAUGAAGGACCUUGGGGUGGCUGAUGUUAUCUUGAACAUCAAGCUGUUGAGAGAUGAUGAGGGUGCGAUUACACUUCUGCAGUCCCACUAUGUUGAGAAGAUUUUGAGUCGCUUUGGAUAUUCAGAUUGCAAAAUUUCUCAAACACCAUAUGAUCCUAGUGUGCUUAUUAGAAAGUCUAAAGGCACAACUAUAGAUCAAUUGAGAUUCUCUCAAAUUAUCGGUUCGCUUAUGUACCUAGCUAGCGCAACGAGGCCUGACAUCGCGUUUGCUGUGAGCGAACUUAGCCGGUUUGUUGCAAACCCGGGCGAUGUUCAUUGGCGUGGUGUUGAAGGAAUUAUGCGCUACUUGAAAGGUACUGUCAACCACGGGCUUCACUAUACGGGAUUCCCAUCGGUACUUGAAGGGUAUAGUGAUGCGAAUUGGAUCUCUGAUGCUGAUGAGAUGAAGGCCACCACUGGAUAUAUGUUUACUCUUGGGGGUGGUGCUGUUUCCUGGAAGUCUUGCAAGCAAACGAUCUUAACGAGAUCGACAAUGGAAGCAGAAUUAAUAGCAUUAGACACAUCUGGUGUCGAAGCAGAAUUUCUUCGAGAUCUUUUGAUGGACUUACGUGUGGUUGAGAAGCCGGUUCCGGCUAUCCUUAUGAACUGCGAUAAUCAGACGGUUAUUGUCAAAGUGAAGAGUUCAAAGGACAAUAUGAAGUCCAACAAACAUAUAAGAAUGAGAUUGAAGUCUGUCAGACGUUUGAGAAACUCUGGAGUGAUAGCGUUGGAUUACAUCCAAACGGCUAAGAAUCUGGCAGAUCCCUUUACUAAAGGGCUAUCACGUGUUGUGAUAGAUAGUGCAUCGAGGGAGAUGGGUAUGAGACCCACAUGAGUUGCCAUGGUAGUAAUUCAACCUAUAUGAUCGGAGAUCCCGUGAAGUAGGACCUGGGAAAACAAGCCAGUGGUGAACUAAGGAGAGUAACUUUACUAAACCACUCCGUUGGAGAUGCAAUACUCUCGAAUACUGUAUGGUAGGAUGAUUACUGUCUUAAUAUGUUCUAAGGCUUAUAUAUAAGCAAGAUGCUGUCCUACAGAGCGAUCUUUGGAGAAACACACCUAUAUGAGCUUGACUGCUGGUCACAGUCUAUGAGAUUUGGGUGAUCUCCAGUAAACUCAUGAAUAGGCCUGGAGUGUGACUAAUAUGCUCCACCCGAGGGGUCACCUUCGGCAGUCUAGUACUAGUAAGACUUGUGGUGAAGCUCCUUUACGCCAAACUGACAAUUCAAGGCAUAGUCCAUUGUUCAUUUGUAAAGGGGUGUAGCUACUUGCUCUAGGUGAAGCUCAACCUUAACAGGUCUUCACUGAAAUGUUGGUAUAUUAAAACAGUGAUUGGAACGAGGGAACACGAUGUGCCCUUGAGAUCUGGUGGGGGAUUGUUGAAAUUGGUAGUGGGCUUUAGGCCCAUUAGAGAAUUUUAGAAAAAGCUCCAAGGGCCCAUGUAGGUGGUGGCAUGACAAGGUGGUGGGAAGUUUAGUCCCACCCCGCUAGUGGAGGAGAAGUUGGACCCCUUUAUAAGGGUCUCUCUUCCACAUGCUAUUGGAGAGUGAGAAGAGAAGGUGCCCUCGCGCACUCCUCCUCCGCCGCUCGCCUCGCCACGCCUCAUCACGACGCGACGCGACGCGGGUUGCGGGAAUGAGCCGAGCCGAGCUCAUACCUACGCGCUUAUUUUUGCCGGCCAGGAACGGAGAAUACGUAACGGACACGGACGUCGGAUCGUGGGCUGUUACCGACUCGGACGUGGGUUCGGCCCACGUCUCUCCACCCAGCCGCGUUUAUAAGCAGGCUAUCGCCUACCGUAGCCGUCACGAGAAUCAAAUCGCAUCUGCCUCACGCGUUCGUUCCUUUUGCUGCUGCUGCCUCCGGCGACUCCGUCCCGUUUACCGCGUACACGGUCGACGGGAGAGCAGGCCUCCGAAACCCCGCCUCUCCGGUUCCUGUACGGGAGAGGGGCGAUUAGGUUUUUGGGGAGCGAUCACGCGACUGCUCGCCUCCGUCCGUCUGCUUCGUCUACGUCCGCGUCGCCCUCGUCAUCGCCAUGUCUUCACCAAGCGAAGCUGGCCGUCUCGUCCGCGAGAAGGCCGAAGCCGAGAAGAAGGCGGCAGAGGAUGUUGCCGCCGCCACCGCUUCUGCUACGGCCAAUUGGCCGAUCGGAGGGUAUGAUAUGUUUAUCUCUCUCCUAUUUCUGUCUGCACUAGUAGUACUGCCUGUAUGCGUAGAUGUUUCUGCUAUAUGCGUAGUACUUGCUAGUAUACUCCGUGAUCAGUAUGUCAUGAACCUAGUCAAUGCCAUGUUAGUAAUUAUUUCAUGGAUUAAUCUACUCGAAAAAUUGCCUAUUUACUCAACAAAACCUAUGUAUGAGGCGCUCAGAUCCAAAGUCAAACCGUUCCCAACACGCGGUGCCUUGCCCAUGGGGGUGCACCAACAGAGUGACGUGGUAGAUACGUGUGACCUCGCAGUGUGCCUUUUGCCGACGUUGCUCCGGCCUGGUGUUUCUCGACUUGUGUCUUCGAGUGUUCAUGGUUUUUCCGGCAUCCUCUACCGAUGUGGUUUCGGCCCUAAUAACCCGGUAGUUGUGUUCCUUCCGUCUCCCUCUGCUCGUUGGUGUCUUGACGGUUAUGGCAUCGUCGGCUCGGAUCUGCGCCACUUCCAGUUCCUUGCUCAUUGCCAGCCAAAGCUGUUACAAUCGCGACUCAAGCUUUAGAAUUUUAUGACUUACGAUCCGAACUAAGCCCUCUUAUUCUAUGAUUUCUCUCAUAGAAUCUAAGUUUCUAUGAUCCUGGUAGUUAUGGUUCUACGAUUCACGAUCCUACCAAUGAAGCUCCGGUCUAAUUCAGAAUCUCGAUUCUGACAACUUUGUUGCCAGCUGUUGUCGCUUCCCCUGCAUCGUUUCUCUCUGCCUCAUUGCCUCCCCGAUCAUGUCCACCUCUACGCCUCGCCUUGUGCCUGAUGUAUUGCUCGCGGUCCGACAGUGCUCGGUGUCGUCCUUUGGCAACAAGUGCAGCCCCACACCCCUUUCCUGAUGUGGCGGUUUCGACCGACGGCGUGAGUUCCUCAUCUCUAAUUUCCGAACAGAUGGAUAUGGGAUUGCCAGGACUCAGGCAAGGGUGAAAUCUUUGUUUGGCUUGCCGAUGCUGUCAGCGGCGACAUUCGAGGGUACCGUUUUCUUCUUGAAGGCGCUGCCAUGGCCUUCAUCCAAGCCGAGCACAUGAGAAACAAUUGGUCAAGUUGAAGGUGCCAUCUUGUUCGCUCGUUGUAUCCCUGCGGUUAGCUUUGGUGAUGUUGGUUGUCGUGGCCGUUUCGGCCUUCCCCUCUGCUUGGAGGCUUGUUGGUUUAGCUGUGUCGUACCCUCCUUUCGGGUCGAGCAUCCCCUUUUCUCUCUGCUCAUUGCACCAUGUACAUGCCAUCUUGUGUUCGUGUAUUGUAUUGGACCCUCAACGAAAUAAUACGUAAGCUUUACGCAUCCACGAAAUAUAAGUGGCCACCGAUGUUGGAUCUGUGUCUAGCCAACUCUCCAUGUAUUGGAUCUACACAAAGACCAGUGAAAGAUCUAGAGGGUGGACAGGGUGGGCAGCCCAUCUUAAUUUUUUCCAAUAGCCUUUACAUUAUUGGUUUUGCUAGAACUCAUCUAGUUGAAUUUUUAUUAUGUCUCAUUCAUCCUUUAUAACCAUUGAAUGUGAUUAUAAGAUGCGUUUGUGCUGACGUGGGUUGUAGUACUAUUUUAUAUUUGUUUUUUUCUAGGUGAAUGCGACUAAAUUAUAUUCAUUUAGAUGAGAUCGAAACACUUCCUUACAUUAUAUAGUUUUAAAAGGAAAACCUAGUAGAUUUAUACGAGCAAUUACACCGUUGGCCAUCCUGGUCCAUUGGGCUGGAUUCCCCACUAACAAAUACCAAGCAUGAUGCAAUUUUUUCUCAAGAAAAGUAUGAUGCAAACACGUGAAUACGAAUAUAACACAGUGAAGAAUACAACUUUUGUGAAAGUGGCAUCGUUAUUCAUUCAUGCAUAGCUUUUCUGCUUUAGCACUUGGCAAAGGGCCACCGUCCCCACCACAAAUUUGAGCAAUUCACCUGGCAUCCGAACCAUGCAGCUAGGCGCUAGCUAGUGGUCGACAUGGAUCGCCGACGUCUCCCGGCACCACCGGUUCCGUGAAUCCUGCGCGUAGCACAGGACAAACGGGUGGAUGGCAUAUGCAUGGUCGACAUAGGGCGCCGACGUCUGUGACAUCGCUCUCGAUCGUCUCCCGGCACCACUCGUUCCCGUUGGCCGUUAUCGAUCGAGACACAUGGUGAGACAGGAACGGGCCACUUGGACGUGGCGUCGCAUACACUUCGCCGACGUGACUGCAGGCAGCUCGUUCUGUCCGAGGGGGUCCAAUUCCAAAUGGCCCAUGUUCAAAGGAAAACGUUUAACGGCUACACGCUGGCCGAAGAUCUUCGGCCAGCGCCUGCCUCAUGUCGCACUGGAUCCACACACGCAUCACAUCCACGCACAGCGAGUUACAUCUGGCCUUACAUAGGCCCGUGCAACCUUAUUCACCCUCUAGUGGCUUAGGCCCUGUUUGUUUCAGAAGUUUCGGGACAUUUUUUUUAGUCUUAACUUAAAAGUCCCUAGUCCCUAUCCGUUUAUUUUCAGGGAUUAAAUAGAGACUAGAGGUCAUUGAAUGACAUGUAAAAAGACCAUGUUACCCUUAGUAAUGUAGUAGUAGUUAUUAAAUGACAUGUUAAAAGUAGGGGCAUUGUUGGAAAAAGUGCCAAAAAGUCCCAAAAAGACCCUUCCAUAGGGACUUCUCCAAAUAGUCUCAAAUACCCCCUUUUAGUCCCUAAAAGUCCCUCCUGUUUGUUUCACACGAGACUUUUUGAGACUUUUUUUAGUCCCUACACCAAAAAGUCCGUGGAAACAAACACCCCCUUAGUCCCCAUCUCUCUCCUCCCGUCCACGCAUACUCUGAUGUUUUCAUGCUGCCCCACGGUCCCUCCUUUUAGAGUUACUUGCAAAAUACUACCACAAUUCGGGCCGUAUUUACAAGUUGGUGUCAUUUUGCAAUUUUUUUGCAAAUACGUAUCAAGAUACACACAGCUUCUUGCAAAACUUGCAUUUCUACGUAUAGAUGCUCUUUCUGACAGAUAUGGUCCACCGGUCAGUCUCUUACAAGAAAAAUCGGCCCGGACCGCUUCGAUCAGGGGAAAACCGACUCUUUCUCUCCAUCCAGACCGGACAGGCAAAAAAAAACCUUCGUCUCCUCCAGACCAUCUCCCCUGCUCCUCCACCCCGCCUCCCCCUCACCGCCACCACCGCCACACCCCGCCGGCCACUCCCUCCACCCCACCGCAACCACCAGCACCGCCCCUCCCUCCUGCGCCCCCGCCUCCUCACCGUCCGCGGCGUCGCCGGCGCUGCUUGACGGUUCUGGUCGCAUGUCGGACCGUCCGAUCCGCGUGCUGCGUGUGCCGGCGUCCCGCGCCACUGUGUGGCGCAGGCUCUCCUCGCCCGCGGUCACCAUGUCCCUGCGCACGUGCUCCAGGAGGCGCAGCGUGAACCGCUCCAAGUCGCCGUCGAACCGCGCGGAGAGGGAGUGGCCCGUCGAGUGCGCGUGUGAGAACGGCCGCCCCGACCGCGACCGCGAUCGCACCGCGCGCCGCAUGCUGUCGAUCCACUCCAGCUCCGCUGCUUCCCUCAUUCUCUCCUCCUGCUCCUCGCCGUCGCCCUCGCGGUUCAUGUCGAUGGACACCUCCGGCGCCCGCUGCUCCUCCCCGCCGGCGCCGUCCGCUUCGGCCGCCGCCGUGGCUGCUGGCUCCUCCGGGGCGAGGCUGCAGCGGCAGACGGGGCAGGUGACGUGGCCGACGAGCCACUCCCCGAUGUAGUCCGGGUGGAACGCGUGGCUGCACUUGGGGAGGAGGCGGAGCUGGUCCCCGUCCUCGAACUCGCUGAGGCAGACGACGCACUCGAGCACGGCCGUGCUGUCCUCGCCCUUGCCUCCCGCUUCCUUCUCAUGGAGCUCCCUCGCCUCGGCGUAGGUCAUGGCGGGGAAGGAGGCGACCACCUCCGGGUCGAGCCCACGCGGCCGGGCCUACUGUUGUUGCUCCUACCGCGACAGCACGAGGAAGGCCGCGGCCGGGAUGGUGGGGGAGUUCCCGCGGCCGCACUGGCAGAUGUAGAUGGAGAAGAAGCCGAUGAAGAAGAAGGUGGCGAUGAGCACCACGAGGAGCACCACCAUGGGCGCGCUGAAGCUGGGCGGCUUCCUCGCGCCGUACACGACCCCUCUCCCGCUGUCGCUCGUCCUGUCCCACUCGUCGUCGUCCGCCCGAGCGACUGCGCCGGUCGCGAGGAGGAGCUCCGCGAGCAGCACCGCAUGGCAUAUCUAUCGGCGGCGUCGGUAUCGACAUCGACGCGUUUCUCGGUGCCGCGGUAUAAAAACGAACGAGUGAAGGAAGGAAGGAAGGAAGGAAGCAGGCAGUGGAGCGACGCGUGCGUGGCUGGAUUACUUUGCGACCGGAACCGUCAAGCAGCGCCGGCGACGCCGCAGACGGUGAGGAGGCGGGGGGCGGGGGCGGAGGAGGGAGGGGGCGGUGCUGGUGGUUGCGGUGGGGUGGAGGGAGUGGCCGGCGGGGUGUGGCGGUGGUGGCAGUGAGGGGGAGGCAGGGUGAAGUAGCACGGGGGAUGGUGGUCUGGAGGAGACGAAGGUUUUUUUUGCCUGUCCGGCCUGGAUGGAGAGAAAGAGUCGGUUUUCCCUGGAUCGAAGCGGUCAGGGCCGGUUUUCUUGUAAGAAACUGACCGGUGGGCCAUAUCUGCCACAAAGAGCAUCUAUACGUAGAAAUACAAGUUUUGCAACAAGCUACGUGUAUCUUGGUACGUGUUUGCAAAAAAAUUGAAAGAUGAUAUCAACUUAUGAAUACGGUUCGAAUUAUGAUAGUCUUUUGCAAUUAACUCCUGCUUUUGCCGUUGUUUUCCCUCCAUUCAGGACGUCACAGAUGAGUAUGCCGGCAACUACACCUGGCACGAGCGGUGGAACCGGAGAAUGGCUAACCCAAAACCGUAACCUGAUGUACUACUAUCGGUUGGCAGGGACGAAGCCAUCAAUCUGGCAAGAUUUGAUGUCCGCCACACCUAAAAUUUGAUACAAAUAGCAGGGACGAAGCCAUCAAUCUGGCAAGAUUUGAUGUCCGCCACACCUAAAAUUUGAUACAAAUACACUAGCAUGCUCCUGUAGUACGUCUUUGAUUUUAGCUGAUCCAUGCGUCCAGCCGGCCAUCUCAACAUGUGGCUUUGAAUACACAGUAUAUAUGCCAGAAAUUGCUUUUCGAGCUCCGCCUUUAUGGAGACCACCAAAUUCAAAAUUAAACAUUUAUAAAAAUUUAUAUUUUUACGGCUGAAAAAAUUCUGAAAAAAAUUAUAGAUAUAUAUCAAGGCAUAAUGCACAAGUGUGUAAAUUUGCAGGUCAAAAUAUGUUGAAAUGAGGGUUGUGGAACAAAAAACAAAUCUGAGUGUUUUUAACGCAUGAUACUAUUCAUCAUUUUAGGUCUUGAAUUUGUUUUUUUGUACAGUUGGCAAUUCAAAGUAUUUCAUCGUGAAUUUUGACACAUCGUGUAUAUUACAUCCUUACAUACAUGCAUAUUUUUUCAGAAUUUUUUGAAACAAAAGAAUGAUUCUUUUCUUUCAAAAUUCAGUCUCCAUGGAGCUGGAGAUCCAAAAGGCCUUAAAGCAUCUCUGGCAGAUCCCACAUUUUCGCGGAAACUGUAUAAAUAACUGCCGUUUUGCCGUUUCGGACCGAAAAGGCUCGCGGAGCAGAUCCCACAAAAGUGAUCGGCCUACCAAAAAUUUUGAGGGGCGCGACAGUUUUCGUCGGCGAAACUGUGAAAACAAGGUUUUGCGACGAGACCCGGGGGUGCCCUGCAUUGCGCGGAAAUACUUGGCGGGAGGGACAUUUCAGCGCGCGGGUUGCUUCCCUCCCCUUUUCCCUUCCAGCCGCCACGACCGCCCUCGCCGUCGACGCCCUAGAUUCCGGCCGCCGAACACCUUCUGCCCACCUCCGCCGCCGCCGCACGUCAUCGCAGGCCCUGCGCGUCCGGGCUCCGACGGCGGCGCGGGGUCUUUGUCUCCGCCGCCCAAGAUCGAGGCCACCCCGACGAAAGGGCAUCCGCCACCGCGGCGCCGCCUGUCGGGACCGACCCCACCGCUUCGGCCUCUUGAUCUCAGGUGGGAUUUGCCUCCUUCUCCCCCUCCACCCCAACUGCUCCAUCGUGCACUCUCAUUUUCUUCUUUCGGGAGAUGGAAUUGAGCUCCGAUGAGGAAUUUGUGCUCGUCGAUUCUUCCUCCUCCGACGACUCGGAUGUGGAGAAUCUCCUGGCGAACCAUCGGCAGCAGAUGUUGGUGGUCAUGAUGGCCAUCAAGGAGUACGAGGAUCGACGGAGGAGUCAGCGGCGUGGAUCGAAGGUAGGCCUCCUAUGCAUCCCGCGCUAUCGCCACCUCGGCAACAAACUGCUGAUGCGAGACUACUUCGCCCAGCGGCCAACCUAUCCCGCCAACCUCUUCCGGCGAAGGUAACGAAUGCGUCGAUCCCUCUUUGUCAAAACAGUAGAGGCUUGCGAGUCAAAUUCUCGCUAUUUUACUCGCUGGAGGAACGCCGCUGGAUUAUUGGGAUUUAGUGCAUACCAAAAGAUAUCCGUAGCCAUGAGGGUCAUUGCAUACGAAAUCGCUGCGGACUUCGCCGAUGAGUAUCUUCGUAUUUGUGCACAUACUACAAUAGAGUCCGUGCGUAGGUUCGCGAAGGUUAUGAUCCAUGUGUUUGGUCCAACUUAUCUUCGAGCACCAAACGAAGAUGAUACAAAGAGGUUGAUGACGAUGAAUGAAAGGAGAGGCUGGCCGGGUAUGCUAGGUAGCAUAGAUUGCAUGCAUUGGACUUGGAAAAAUUGCCCGAAGGCUUGACACGGGCAAUAUUGUGGCAAAAGCCGAGAUGCAACAAUUGUGCUUGAGGUCUUAGCGUCCGAGGAUUUGUGGAUAUGGCAUUGCCACUUCGGUUUGCGGGGCACCAACAAUGAUAUCAAUGUGUUGCAACGGUCACACCUAUUUGGAAGGCUUGCUAGUGGUAAUGCUCCUCCUUGCAACUUCACUGUGAAUGGUAAUGCCUACACUCAAGGGUACUACCUUGCCGACGACAUUUAUCCUCCUUGGACUACUUUUAUGAAAACUAUAUCCAAUCCAAGCACUAGGAAACAAGCUGAAUUUGCUAAGCAACAAGAGGCGUGGAGAAAGGAUAUUGAGAGAGCCUUUGGGGUUUUGCAAUCUAGAUUUGCUAUUGUUCGUGGGCCAGCUCGUUUUUGGGAUAAGAAAACCCUCAGCAACAUCAUGCCAUGUUGUGUGAUUCUUCACAACACGAUCAUUGAAGAUGAGAGGGAUUUAAACUUGGAGUUCUUCUACGACAAAGUUGGUAGCUGUGUGAAGCCAUCCAGAAACCCUGACCGUAUUCAGGCUUUCCUGAAGCCCUACCGGCAUAUAGAAGACGCCCAUGGGCACACCCAGCUGCAGCAUUAAUCUCACUAAGCACAUAUGGCAGUUGCAUGGACAGUGGAGAUUUUUACGUUCAUCUAUUUGAUUGUUGUGUAAUCUGAACUAUUCUCUUAUUCCGGACAAUUGUUGUAUUGGAUUAUUUAUUUAAUUCUUUCAUUUGAACCAUUUUUGUAAGUUUGACAAUUGUUGUAAUGUACCGAAGGACAAAGGGANNNNNNNNNNNNNNNNNNNNNNNNNNNNNNNNNNNNNNNNNNNNNNNNNNNNNNNNNNNNNNNNNNNNNNNNNNNNNNNNNNNNNNNUGCGACGUUCCCCAACAGUGGCAUCAUGAGCUAGGUUCAUGCGUAGAUGUCUUCUCGAGUAGAACACAAAAGGUUUUGUGGGCGGUGAUGUGCGUUUUGCUGCCCUCCUUAGUCUUUUCUUGAUUCCGCGGCAUUGUUGGAUUGAAGCGGCUUGGACCGACAUUACUCGUACGCUUACGAGAGACUGGUUUCAUCGUUACGAGUAACUCCGUUGCUCAAAGAUGACUGGCAAGUGUCGGUUUCUCCAACUUUAGUUGAAUCGGAUUUGACCGAGGAGGUCCUUGGAUGAGGUUAAAUAGCAACUCAUAUAUCUCCGUUGUGGUGUUUGCGUAAGUAAGAUGCGAUCCUACUAGAUACCCAUGGUCACCACGUAAAACAUGCAACAACAAAAUUAGAGGACGUCUAACUUGUUUUUGCAGGGUAUGCUUGUGAUGUGAUAUGGCCAAUGAUGUGAUGUGAUAUAUUGGAUGUAUGAGAUGAUCAUCUUGUAAUAGAAAUAUCGACUUGCACGUCGAUGGUACGGCAACCGGCAGGAGCCAUAGGGUUGUCUUUAUACUAACGUGUGUGCUUGCACAUGCGUUUACUAUUUUGCUAGGAUGUAGCUUUAGUAGUAAUAGCAUGAGUAGCACGACAACCCCGAUGGCAACACGUUGAUGGAGAUCAUGGUGUGGCACCGGUGACAAGAAGAUCGUGCCGGUGCUUUGGUGAUGGAGAUCAAGAAGCACGUGAUGAUGGCCAUAUCAUGUCACUUAUGAAUUGCAUGUGAUGUUAAUCCUUUUAUGCACCUUAUUUUGCUUAGAACGACGGUAGCAUUAUGAGGUGAUCUCUCACUAAAAUUUCAAGACGAAAUUGUGUUCUCCCCGACUGUGCACCGUUGCUACAGUUCGUCAUUUCGAGACACCACGUGAUGAUCGGGUGUGAUAGACUCAACGUUCACAUACAACGGGUGCAAAACAGUUGCACACGCGGAACACUCGGGUUAAGCUUGAUGAGCCUAGCAUGUGCAGACAUGGCCUCGGAACACAUGAGACCGAAAGGUCGAUCAUGAAUCAUAUAGAUGAUAUGAUUAGCAUAGGGAUGCUUACCACUGAAACUAUACUCAACUCACGUGAUGAUCGGACUUGAAUAGCAGCCAUUGGCCUCCCCUUCAACAUGGAAGCCACUUGUUCAUUCGUGGCCAAAGAUGUCUGUAGUGAAAGUCGGACGAAGAGAGGGUAUUCUUCCAUGUCAUCAAUUAUUUUGAACAAAUUCUCAUUCGGGUUGGUCACGUGUGUGAAACGCAUGGUAUCUGACAUAUCACGCAGUGACCGCGUCAUGUCUUGAACCACACUCUCAUCACACUUCACCCUCUUACCUUUAUUGCGUUUGUCACCUCGAGGACGCUUUGAACAUGAGCUUUCAUUGUUGGUGUCAUCAGGAAGACAAUCUGAAUCAUAAUGGGUUGCAGGAUCAACCUCAACAUCACUAGCAUUCUUCUCGGUAUCACCAAUAAAAUCCUUGUGACGAGCCUGAACACGGUCAUAUGGUGUUUGAAGGACCAUGAACUCUCCAGUAGCAUGCUUAUCCUGAAAUAUGAACUCCAUCUCAUCAAAGUUGGCAAUUGGCACAUUGAUAUAUUUUGCCCUUUUGUCUUUAUUAUGGAAGAGAGAAGAAGAAUGAAAAUGUUAGUUAUUAGUCACGAAAGAAAAAACAUGAUACUCGAUGAAACUAUAAUUUGACUUAAUUGAUAUGUAGUCCUCACAUUCUUCAUACGAACAACUUCUGUCUCAUCAUAUAAUAUUAUCUUGUUGACAUCAUCAAAAUUGGCACCACUUAAGUUCUUCGCCUCUAGUACAAUCUUCCACUGACCUUUGAGCUUGUGGAACUUGUGAUAAACUUGUCGUUGUGUGAAGGCAGUGGUAAACCUUGCAUUGAUUUGUUUUGCACAUUCCUCAUGAUGUGUCUCUUUGAAAACAAAUUGUUUUCCCUCAGACUGAAUCUUCUCUUUGUAGUAACGUAACAUUUCAUCAACAACUUGGGGCUGCCACACCACAUUGUUUCCUGAUAUAUCCUGUGGUACCAUUUAAAUUUUAUAAUGCAUAGACAUAAUAACAUCACUGAGAUGCAUAUAACAUUGCAUUCGUACCUAGGGAAAGAUAUAACUUUGCAAAAAAUCAUGGUUACUAGUUAAAGGCAAAAAACACACACGUUGUUCUCGGUAGUGCUAAUACAACUUAGAAUAAAAAAAACUCAUACAUGUAGCUUGAAAAAAAUCAACCACGUCUAACAUUAUGCCUAUUUCUCCACAUAUUGGCUGCCAUGGUAUCCCUAUCUCGAAGCACUUCCCUUUGUUCCUCACGUAAAUCUCGUUGGACACGGCCAGCUGAUCUUGGAUAUUGUUCAAACCAGUUUUGCUCACUGUAGACUAGUUCAUCAGGACCCCCGUUUAGUAAUAUCCAGUUGUGAAGGAUACAACAUGCUAUGACAACUCGCACUUGUGAAGGAAAGGGAUAAUAUGGCCUUGUUGUUAGAACUUUGAAACGGUUCUUCAAAGUUCCGAAUGCCCUCUCAACAGUAGUACGAAGGGAUGAGUGUCUUAAAUUGAAUAGCUCAUUUUGUGUCCGAGGUCUAUUAUUACCCCUCCAUUCACGCAAAUGAUAUUGAGUUUGACGGAACGGCGGUAGGAAUCCUUUCCUAGCUGCAUAUCCCGCAUCCGCAAGAUAGUACUUACCUAACAUGACAUUAUCGACAAUUAAUCAAUCAUGCGCUCUGUAUGUUAUAUCAUAAUAUGUAAAAAUUGCAGGGGCCUACCUUCAGGGACUCUAAGGCCAUUUGGAUGCUCAAGAGAAUGUCUUAAAACGGUUGAAUCGUGUGCCGAACCCUCCCAGCCCGCACAAACAUAAGUGAACAACAAAUCAAAGUCGACCGCGGCAAGAACAUUUUGUGUAGGGAAUGGUUUCCUGCCGCGAAAUCUGUCAACUAUCCGAGAUGGAACGUUGCAUGGAACAUGUGUACCAUCAAUAGCACCAAUACAAUCCUAAAUAUCGAAUUAAAAAUUAAUUAGUAAUACACCUACUGCACUAUGAAGUUAUUUUAAAAUUUAUGGAUACCAAGAUGCACACUGUACUAUACCUUAAAAUAGGGAUCAAAUCGUAGGUUGCCUUGAAUUUUUGACGGUGUAUCGAGUGUGCGAUGCCUAAGCAUUUCUGGGCCAAGUUUCCCAAUUGCAAAUAAAACUUUGUUGAAGUAACGACUCACUGUUUCACCUGACCUUUUAAAAUGGAAACUAAUAGCGACAUUUUUCUUAUGAUGCCCUACAGUAGUGAGGAACAUGGCUACUUGUUCCUCAACAGUACAAUGCCAUGUAUCUUUAAGUUGUCUCAUACUCCGUAAUUUAUGACACAGUUUGAAGAAAACUGAUUUUCCCAUACGUAAUUCCGCAAUGCAGUGUUUCUCCUCGCCGCAGUAAAGUUUGCGUAGAUAUGCCAUUCUUUCUUUAUUUCUCUCUAACAAUGAGUAUCUUAUAGGAUGACUAGAGUUGCUUAGAUAUACGAUCAAUGCAUAAUAUGUCACCACAAAUGCACUGAAGAACGCUAUUUUUCUGUUAAUUUGCGCAUUGCCGUCCAUCUAUAAAUCAGUGAAAGAAAAAUAAAUAUUAAUGUCUUACACAACACGGCGCCAUCAGUAUAUACACAGUCAUAAGCAGACCUAAAUCCUAACAAAUCAAUUCAGAUCCAUGUAAAAUAGAUAGCUCCAUAUCCAUGUUUGAGUACGGACCAAAUCAAGAAAUCUGAUGCAGAUGUAUGUUCAUACAAGUCAACCACUAUCAUGCACUUCUAGUACGGUAGCACUUAAUUUCAGAUUGACUAGAAAUAAAAACUGGGUGUUAGGUGCGCACCAACAGCAGGAUUAUGCCCCAGCCCCAACACCACAACCUGCCAUUAGAGUGAGCUUGCUGUCACAUGGCCGCACUAAUCAUAUCCUAAAGACAGGUCAUCCAAGAAAAAUCCAACCAUGAAGACCAUGGGAAAUAUACAGAACUAAUUGGGAUCUGGAGCCUCUCGUACUAAUCAACCCUUGAGCCAGCCACUCUAGUCACAGGAGAAAGAUUCAUACACACAGGCAGGAAGAUUCAAGAGAUGUGGAGGGGGAUGCAUACCUGAUCAAGGAGGAUGAGGCGUCCGCUUUUAGAUCUGGAGCUCGUCUUCACCAAAUCAUGGAGGGGAACAGCCAACUCGCUCUAUUUAUCCGGUGGGAAAUACCAAGAUUUCAGGAUUUCGUUGGGGAUGAGGAGAAAACGGGGAGAGUGGAGGAGGUCCGAGUGGAGAGGAUAUAGGGAUUUGUUGCAGACGAGUUCAUCCAUCCGGAGCGUUCGGCGUCGGUUUGUUUCGCGCGUCCGAGUUUGCCGUCGAGGGCGAGUCAAAUCGGCUCUCCCUGUUGAGCGAGGAUUUUCUGACCCGUCAAGAUUAUCUGCCCCAAAAGCAAGGUAUUAUUUGGGCUACCAAACGGAUAGCCUAGCCUAGCAAGGCAAAAACGACUUUUGCCAAGUAACCAAACACACCCUAAGUGGCACCGUAGUGCGUACUGCGUAGUCGAUCAAUCUCGCGCGCAAACACACAAGGCCUAAGCCGCUGGUUGCUUGGCAGCGCAUCGGUCACCACGUCGGAUCGACGCUCGCACUGCUCGAAAAGGAAGCAGGUUGCACGGCGAGAACGCCGGCGGCGCACGCGACGUGUCCACAUCAGGUGCUGCAGAGCACGUAGUUGGUUAAAAAGUCCUAACACUUUUUUUUUAGUUUUAACUAGUAAAAAGUUCCUAGCAUCUGUUUAAUUUCACAGAGUAAAUAUGAAUCAACUGUUAUUAAAUUACAUGCAAAAAGGCCCUGUUACCCUAGUACUCUCUCCGUGUACGUAUACCUAGGUUGUCAAUUUAACUUAUAUAAAAUAUAUUAUUUAAUAUAAAAAUUAUAUCAUUAUUUUCUCCGUUCCUAAAUAUAAGUCUUCCUAAAGGUUUCACUAAUGGAUUACGAUGUAUGUAGAUAUACUUUAGAGUAUAGAUUCACUCAUUUUGCUCCGUAUGUAGACACCUAGUGAAAUAUAUUAAAAGACUUAUAUUUAGGUACGGAGGGAGUAAAAAAUAAAACAUCUAAAGUUUCUUAUGAUAUAUUUUUAUAAUAUAUGCCUCUCAUUAAAUUGGUCAAAUUGACGACCUAGAUACACGUACCGGACUUAUAAACUGAAACGAAAAAGUAAUAAACUAAAUAUUAUUAAAUAAUAUGUUAAAAGCUAAAAAAGUCUAAAAAGACUCUUUUUAGGUUUUAUUUUUUUAGUCCCAAAUGCCCACUCGUAAUCCCUAAUAUCCUUAUAUUUUGUUUAAAUAAAACUAAUAUUUUUAAUCCUUACACCAAAAAUUGCAUUUAAACAAACACCCUCGCAGUCCCGAGACCCAGGUCUGUCAGACUGUCACGGUCGAGCCAUGCGCCGGCAAAGGGCAAAAUGGACAAAUUUAACCUCUUUGCUGAAUGAAUUCACAGACUGAACCUAGUUCAAAACAAAUUCACCGAGUUGAUCCUUUUGUGUGACGUCCGACGUGUAGGCGCCACACUACAGUGUGUGACGCCUGAGCCUUGGACGUUGCUCAUGCUGUAGUGUGACGCCGAGCACUUAGGCGUCACACAUGCACUUAUGCAUUAUGCAGCCCGCGGCCGAAUCCAGACGGCCGGUCGGCCGGCGGUCAGUCGAAGCGGCGGCCGUGCCAUGCGGAGCUGAGCAGGACGCGGCCGAAGCUGGCGCCCUCCAUGCGCGUCGCCCUGCUCGCCCUCGCCACCUCGCCUACGGCCGCGCCCAUGCCUGCCUCGCCGUUCUCCGCCUCCUCCAUGCCCGCCAUGCACGCUACGGGAAGGAUCGACGGGUGCAGCAGCUCGCGGCGUCUGCUCGCAAGGACGCGCGAGCACCUGCCAUGGCCAUGCCGCACAUGCGCGCGCCGGAAGCGCCAGGCCGGGGGCCCGACUAUUUGGAUGGCAUCCCUGACGACCUCGUGCUGUCAAUCUUCUCCAAGCUUGCCGCGUCCGCGACCUCCCCGUCCGACCUACUCUCCGUCUACCUAACGUACGCCCCCGCGCGCCUCCGCGUUUGGUUCAACUGCUUGAACUCAUGCCGCUUUGUAUGAGUAUGUAUGGAUGGUUGGUUGGCUGAAUUUGUUUGUGUGUGCCUUUAACGUUUUAGGUGCAAGCGGCUCAACGGCCUUGGGCAGCAGGAUAUGGUGUUCGCCAAGGCCUCGCCGGCGUCGCUCGCGGCCUGGUCGGAGCCCGUGCAGCGGUUUCUGAAGCGCUGCGCCGACGCCGGCAACCUCGAGGCCUGCUACAUUCUCAGCAUGGUAAGAGUCGAUGACCAAAUCCAGUUGACUUGAUCGUUUAGCUUGACAUCCGUGCAUGCAUACAUGGUCGGAGUUUCAGGGAUGGAGUGCUGAUGAGCGCCAUGCGUUUUUGCAGAUCCGUUUCUAUUGCCUUGGCAGCCGGAGCGGCGGCGCGGCCCUGCUCGCGAAGGCGGCAGUCGGCGGGCACCCGGCCGCGCUCUACUCGCUUGCUGUAAUCCAGUUCAACGGGAGCGGGGGUGCCAAGUCUGACCGCGACCUGCGCGUCGGGGCUUCCCUGUGGCUGCUGGCGUCGGGCUUUGGGAGGUGGAAUGCAUGUGUGGCGUCUAAGUGCUCGGCGUCACACUGCAGCAUGUGUACGUCCGAGGCUUAGGCGUCACACAGCCAGGAUGGGCCCUGCAGCACCAGCGUGGCCUUUUUGUACAACGCCUAAGGCUUAGGCGUCACACAGUGUAGUAUGGCGCCUACGCGUCGGACGCCACACAAAAGGGUUAGCUCGGUGAAUUUUUUUUGAACUAGGUUCAGUCUGUGAAUUUAUUUAGCAUAGAGGUUAAAUUUGUCAAUUUUGCACCGGCAAAGGAACCUCUCUUUCAUUAAACCUCGAUCCUCACGCCGGAGUGUGGACCGCCCCCGUAGCUGCCCGUCCCUAAAAACAAACUAGCUCUGGCUGCGCACACGUGACCGCACUAUUUUUCUUUAGGAAAGGUUGCUGACUUUUAUUAAUGGAAAAAAUCUCACUUCAUCUUAAAAUAAAUGUCGUGAUUUUAGUUUUAAUAAGUUCAAAUUUAAAGUAAGUCGCGACACAUAUUUUUGGUCAGAGAGAGUAUAAAACAAAACUUAUAGAUAAAUACUAAAUCAAAUCUUAAACUUUAAAUCUUGAAAAUUGAUACUUUAAACUUAUCAAUCCCGGUCUAUUUCAAACCUUAAGAGUAUUUAGCUUGUAUUCGUGGAGACGGGCCAGCCCAUUGGUGCAGUCGCUUGCGCCGCUCAUGCAUAGCUGUAGGUUCGCCUGCUUUAGUCUGUUUUUUUUUCUUUUUCCCUUCUCCCUUUAGCCUUUCUUUGAUUUUUCAUCAGUUUUCUUUGGUUUUUUCUCCUUAGUUAUACUUUAUGUUUUCACUGAUCUCUUUGAAUUUUUUCUCUGUUAUAUUUUUGGUUUUCUUUUGUUUUUUAUUUAUUUUUAAUAUAUUUUCUUUCUUUUUUCUUUGCCGGUUUUAAUUGAUUUUAUUUUUAAAACAUGUCUACUUUUUCUUAGUAUACAAUGUAUAUUUUUAGCACACAUAUGUAAUAUUUUUUUUCAAGAAAUUCCAAAACUUUACUUUAAAAAUGGGACACAUUUUUCAAAAAUCUAAAACAUUUUGCAUAGUAUAGGAAAAAAUGUUGGAAUUCUCAUGAUUUUUGACAAAUGUGAUUUUUUUAAAAAUCAUGAACAGUUAUAUACAUUGCAAAAAUAAUAAAAAUUUCAAAAGAUAUUUUUGAAAAUGCAAAGGAAUUGAAUUUGUGUCAAAAAUAGAUAACAUGAAGAUUUUUUAACUUUAGACCACGAAUAGAAAACAUGCGGAAAAUUCUCAACCUCACGAAUUCUUCUUCUGGUAUAGUGGGCUGACCUAAUUUCUCGUCUGUGAGAGUAGCGGGUUAAAAUAAUGUCUCGAGAUCUCAUUUUUUUAUGAGUUAAAAGAAUGCCAUUACAAAAACACAAGUUGAAAAUAUACCACUACAACAUCCUUGUAUGUGUAUCUAUGCCAUUUUCUCCAAUACCGGGUCAUAUACUCCCCUUAUACGUUUGCACGUACAUAUAUACGAACAUGUGACACACCACACGAAGUAGCACACACAAAAUCGCAACCAUUCUCCAUCCUGAGUCACACACACAAACCCUAGCGUGGGGGGAAUGUCGGUUGGAGGCGCGGUCGACAACGUCGUGAUAGGGCCCAAGGCGGCGGGAGGGGGGCACCACGGUUACUGGUUCGUGCCGCUACGGCUGGAGGAGGGGAUGACAUGACUAGAAUUGUGCGGCGCGGUGGGGGAAGGGGNGGGGGCAGGGGAGGCGGGCGAGAGUCGUUGAGUCCCAACUCCCCGUACGAGAGAGUUCCUCACGCCCAAACCUCAAGCCCCGAACCUUCUCCUGAAAACUUGUCGAAUAUUGACUGGAAUUUUCCAUGGAUGUUAACUCUCAAGACGACAACCAUCGCUAAUGGGAUACAUGGGCUCACAGAAAAGUUCAAUGAGAAAACUACCGUCAAGAAAAUCCUUCAAGUUGUUCGGUCAAAGUCUCCCAAAUUGCACCUGCUAUAGAGCAGUUUGGCAAUUUCAAAAUGAUGACAAUGAAGGAAGUCAUGAGGAGGUUGAAGGUUCAUGAGGCACGACUGCGUGGCUAUGUCCAUGACGACCAAGAUGACAAACAAUUUUUGUUGACAUAUCAAAGCCAAGAGAUCUUGAGUUCAAGAUCCGGGUGGCACAAUUAAAUCAUAGCUCACUUUUGGUCCAUAUUAGACGAGAUGGGGAGUGCUGGCGUAUAAAUGCAUAACACACCAUUUCCAUUAGCUUGAGUUUCUGGGUGAACUGACUAGUGUGCAGUUGUAUAGUGACACACCAUCCGUGUAGCACACACCAUGUCGCAACCGUUCUCCAUCUCGUCUCUCAUACUCGAACCCUAGCAUGAGGGCGACGACAACUCGAGGCGUAGGCGAAGGCGGCGCCCAAGGCGGGGCCAUGGCUGCUAAAAUUCCAUGGAGUCAUUGAGUUGCUCACGUGUGAACCUCAUGCCCCCAACCCUUUUACUCAAAAUUUGGUGAAUGUUGACUAAAGUUUUCCAUCGAUGUUAACUAGAAUAGCCUUUAACCCGUGUUGUUUUUUCAUGAAAUUUGUAGGCUCGAGCCAACGAAUGUUUUUAGCUUAGACCUAGUUCCUCAAGGGUUUCUACCAAAGGAACUGAAUGGUAGGAAAUCAUAUGUGAAGGUGAAAACAAUUAGAUGGAACAUAGACUCAAAGGACUUCAUAAUGGACUAGAAGGGUUGGACACGCUUUGAUGCAUUGUUGAAGUUGUUGUAUUUUUAAAAAUUACCCACUUUGUUUUCAAAUAUAACAUGUAUUACUUUUUGAAAAUCCAGACAUUUUAAGUUUGAUCAAACAUGAUAUCAAAUAUCAAAUCUAUAUGAUUAGAUUCAUCAUGAAAUGAAUUUACAUACUUCUUGUCUAAUAUUGUGGAUGUCAAUAUAUAUUUCUCUCACUUUGGUCAAAAUUAAAAUUUGACUUCAAAAAAAUAAUACCACUUAUAAUUUGGAACUGAUGGAAUAUUUAGUUUAAUGGAUUGGGGAUAUGAUGCAAUGUGUUUUAUUUUUAUUUAUUAAAUCAGGUGAUUUGAUGGAAUUUACUUGGUGUGGUUUUGUGUUAUCCGCUAACCAACAUAUAUUUAUAUGGGAAAGUUUAUGCAUCGAUGGUUGGAUGUACUAUAUUGAUGCUACAAUAUUACAUGGUGGCGCUUCAUUUUUCUAGGUGAUGGGAGGAUGCGCGGGAUUGAUGUAUUUUUAUAGACUGGUUGUUGCCAAUUGAUUUGGAGAAUCGUUGCACCAAUCAAAAUCGUAAACCAAACUCAAUUAAAUAUCUCAAUUGAACGAAAUAACUUCAAAACUGGAGAACAUAAUGAAUUAAAAGAAUAGAAUGGGAGAGCUCCUUGAGAAAAUGUUGACUUGGUCAAAAUCGGAUGACGUGGUUCUAAAUUAAAUACCUCAAUUAAUUAUGAGACCUUAAAAUUUAGGAAGCAUAAUGUAUAUUAAAAAAGAAUUUAAUGAUAAAGCUUCAAGUUGAUGACCCAGACGAAAUCGGGUGAUUCAAUUUCAAUUGAAGACCUUAAUUAAAUGUAGGUUCUUAAAAACAAGGAAGUAUAGUGUUAAAGGAUGUACUCAUGGAUAUGCUCUUGGUGCCUGGCUAUUUAUACAAACCCCGAAGAGAGCACUUCCAAGUAUGUGAGAAGUGAAAUGGAUUCUAACUAGAAUACAAAGUUGCUAAGGGCAUCUCCAAGGCUGACCCCAAAACGGACUGGUAUCCUGCUGCGGGUGCGUAACUGAUACAGAAGACGACCAUCCAACCAUGUCAACAUAUAUUUUAAACCAAAUUUAAUAACCGAAAGAAGUACAUGCAAAGGGAUGAUUUUCGUCUAAACCUGAUGAAUUUUUGACAUAUUUCAACUCAACUAUAACGGAUUACGCUAUCCUAAGCUUGUCUAAAUGAUCGCUGGUUGUGGUGGCGCGUGUUUCCCACAAAAGGUCUUCCACAUGUGUGGCAGCAAGCUCAUCCGACGAGGCGAGGCCUGGUGAUAGGACAUGUAUGUUGCCUAGAAUGGGGGGGGGGGUGAAUAGACACUUUAAAAUAAUUUCGGUUUAGGUUCAAACAAAAGCGGAAUAAAACUAGCGUUCAAUUUCUCAAGUAGAAAACCUAAAUCAACUAUGCUUACCUAUGUGCACCAACAACUUAUACUAACCAAGAUAAAAAAACUAAGUGAUAGCAAGAUAUAUAACAUGAAACAUUAUGGUGGCUAUCACAAAGCAAGUGCAUAAGUAAAGGGCGGGUAAGAGAUAACCAAGGAACACGGAGAGGGCGAUGUAUUUGGAAGUUCACACCUUUGUGGAUGCUAAUCUCCGCUUGGAGCGGUGUGGAGACACAAUGCUCCCCAAAUUGCCACUAGGGCCACUGUAAUCUCCUCAUGUCCUCGCAGAAUGCAAGAUGUUGUGAUUCCACUAAGGGACCCUUGAGGACACUCACCAAAGCCGUACAAAUGGCGACCCUUUGGGGCAGUCAGCGAAAUCGUACAAUUGGAAACCCUUGGGGGCGGUCACCGAAACCCCGUAUAGAUUGCCCGUGGCAAUCUUCACAACUAAAUUGGAGACCCACCAAUGUAGAAAAUCCUAUCCAUGGUGUGGCAAAAAUGACCUUGCUGGCGUGGACACCCGACGCCACCAAUAUGGCCCUAGUAUUAGAAAAUAAUGGUGGCGUUGGAACCGACGCCAAAAGUAUAUUACAUGUUGCUGACGUCCACGUGGCCAAUGCCAGCUAUACAUAUAUAAUACCUUUGUCAUUUGUUGUUGUCCAACGCCAGCAAUUUCUUUUGGAUAAUAAAAAACACUACUUGAGAAACUAAGAGUUUAAACUUCACAAAAUGUACUAAUCAACUAAGUAUACUCAUAAACUUAAUAAGAGUUUAAAACUUAGUACUGAUCAAUAAAACAUACUCAUAAACUUCAGAGUUUAAAACUUCACAAAAGGUACUGAAAUAAUUAAACUACUCUUCAUCAAGGAUUAUCCUGAGCUGGCGAAUCUUCUUUCGAUUGCUCUCUCUAUAAUUUUGGAAGUGAGUGACUUCUAUGUUUAGCUUAGUCCUACCAGUCCUCAGUAGUUUUCUCUCCUCCAUGAAGUCAUCCCUCUCCUCCAUCAAGUCAUCCCUCUCCUCCCUUAGUUUGUUUGACAUGUCGAGAGCAUGAACACCCUUUUGUGAGCGGACUAUCCCGUUCAUUCUUCACACAGAUAUUUUGUUCUUCCAGUUUUUUAUUUUCUAGUGUGAUUCCUCUAGGAGACACUUAUUCCACUUGUUCACAUCGUACACCGAUUCGUUGUUGCUUGAAGAGUUGUCCACAUGUCCUGUUUCAAAUUAUGUACACAAGAAAAUUAAAACUUGUAGUAGCAAUAUAAAUCAACUACUACCUAAACAUUGCAAGAUUGAGACAUAUGUUUCAAAUCCAUCUAAUAUAAAGCAAUCAAAACAUAAAUACUACACAAAACAUAAACAUUGAGAACAUAGGUUCUCAAAUUCAUCUAAUAUAAAGCACUCAAAACAUAUCUAGUACUUGUAUGGAAUUAUCUAGUACUAAGAUCCCGACAAAACAUAAUCACUGAAAACAUAUGUUCCCAAAUCCAUCUAAUAUAAAUUUGUACUAAUAGCAUUCUACACUAAUCGGAUUCUAUACUAAUAAAUUAAUUUCUACUAGUCACAUUCUACACCAAUCAGAUUCUAUACUAAUCAGACUCUACACUAAUAUAUACCUACACUAAUAGGAUUCUACACAAAACAUAUAUGUACACAUUUUUAGGGUUGGGAUCCGCCACGAGAUUGAAGGAGAAGCUCGGGGAGGGGAAGAAGAUGCGGAGGGGAGUGGUAGAUCUCACCUGCUGCCCCGGAGGUAUCGAUGGCCGCAAUGGUCUGGCGGCGGCGACACACGAUGGGGUCAGGAGGUGGCGAUGACGGUAGCGGGCGAGAGAAAGGGGGAUGAGGAGAGAGGAAGGAGAAUAAGGUGAGUGAGUGAAAUUUGACCAAAUUUUUUUUUGACUGGGUACGGGAGGGCUGUUAAAAUGGACUAGUGCUCGCAUGGGCUAAUGGGCCAUGGCAACACAAUCUGUAUCGGAAAAAGAAAAAAAAUAUGCAAUUACCUAUGUGGUGAGAUAUAACCACAGCCAAUGCUAUUUGAAAAAUAUAGUGUUGGCGUCACUUAGAAACGGUGCGGCACAACCAUAAGUUGUGGCUAGCCAUUUCUCCACUAGUGACCCCAACGCUUGCCCAGAGAUUUACACCAUAAUGAUUGAGCUCCAAGACACCACCAACCUUCUAGUGCACUAAAGCACCCAAGAGGCAAAAGCUCCCGGGUUCCCAUAUACCGAAGAGUAAUAAGCUUCUCCACUUUUUAGUUGCACAUAUCACCAUGAAGAACUCAGACCUAUGCAACUAAUGCAAUGGCACUAACAGACGAAGUGGUAAAUUCCAUCACUACCGAAUCAGACCACAAAAACAAAAGCUAUGGAGGAAUAUGAGAGGAAGAACAAGGAGAACACAAAGAACUACAAGACCUAGAUCCAAGGGGUUCGCCUCAUAUAGAGGAGAAAGUGAUUGAUGGAAAUGUGGGCCUAGAUGUCCUCUAUAUUUUCCCUUAAGAAGGAGCAAUAAUCAUUGGAGGGUUGAGAGAUAGCAAGCUCAAAGAAGGUCAACAAUGGGGGAAAACAUGAGCUCAAAGGAUAAUAACCAUUGGGGAGGAAGACCCCCUUAUAUAGGUGGGGACAAAUCCAACCGUUAUGCCUCAGUUUGCAGUAAAGCGGUACUACGGCUCCUAGGAGUGGUACUGCCACUUAAUGCGGUUGUUUCAGGUGUAGUAGAGUGAGCAUGUGAAGUGCGGGAACGGUACUCCUGUCGGAGCUGUACUUCCGUCCCCCAUCAGCGGUACUAGUGCUUAUGUGACCCAGUAUAGAGAAAUAAAGGUAUUGAGAGGUGCCGAAGCAGCACUACCAGUUAACUAUCGCUUUGUACUGUGAAAGCCGCGAAGGGCAACACAAGCCUCAAAUAAGGAGUAGUAGCACCGGUACUAGAAUGUGGUAGUACCGCGUGGGCAGUACUAAUACUUGUGAUCUGCAUUGGGUUUUUCCCAAAGGGGAAGGGAUGAUGCAGCACAUUAUAGAUAAGUAUUUCCCUCAGUGAGAACCAAGGUUAUCGAACCAAUAGGAGAACCGCACAAUUUCCCGUCUUCAGUGCCUUCAAACAAAAGGUCAUACACUUGCACCCAACACGGGAAAGCGGGUUGUCAAUCCCCUUGAACUUGUUAUUUCCAACACGGGAGGGGACGAGGAGGCCGACUCCCUAGGAGGUCUCCUAGGGUCAGGCGACGACCACCAAGAGGUGCCUUGGCCCUCAAGGAAGGAGGGGCGGCGGCCACCUCUGGGCCUGCCCAGCCCCUUGGCCGCAUGGGCCUUAGGUGGAAGGGGCGGCCAGCCCACGAGGGGCUAGUGCACCAUCUCUCACAGCCCAUGGGGCCCUCCUGGGCAGGUGGACCCUCCCGGUGGACCCCGAUAACACCUUUUGGAACCUCCUUCACAAAACCAGUAACUUUCAAAACUCUUUAGGAACUCGAAUACGAACUACCUAUAUAUCAAUCUAUAACUCUGAACCAUUCUGAAGCUCCUCGUCAUGUCCGGGAUCUCAUCUGGAACUCCAAACAACUUUCGGUAAGUAACACAAUAACUCAACUAUAUCUAUAUGAUCAUUGAAUGCUAAGCGCGUGGACCCUACAGGUUUCAGAACUAUGUAGACAUGACUGAUACACCUCUAUGGUCAAUAACCAAUAGCGGGAUCUGGAUUCCCAUAUUGCUUCCUACAUGUUCUACUAAGAUCUAUAUCAUUCGAACCACGAUGUCAAGGAUUCAGCUAAUCAUGUCCAUCGGUAUGUUACUUUCUCGAGAUUCAAUCAUCGCUAUCUCCAUACCUAGUUCAAUCUCGUUAUCGGCGAGUCUCUUUACUCGUUCUAUAAUACAAGAUCCCGUGACUAACUCCUUAGUCUCUCCCUCAUACGGGGUGACAAAUCCCAGUCUUGAUCCAUGCCAACUCAAAAGACACACUCAGAGAUACCUGUAGUGCAUCUUUAUAAUCACCCAGUUACGUUGUGAGGUUUUAUACACACAAGGCAUUCCUCAGUGUCAGGGUGUUGCAUGAUCAAAGGAACAGAUACAUUGACAUGGAAAAAGGAAGAGCAGUAAACUUGAUACGAUCAAAUGCUAUUCUUACGGUUUGGGUCUUGUCCAUCACAUCUCCUAAUGAUGCGAUCCCGUUAUCAAAUAACAAGUCAUGUCUUUGGCUAGGAAACCUUAACCAUCUUUGAUCAAUGAGCUAAUCUAGUAGAGGCUUACCAGGGACACUUUGUUGUCUAUGUAUCCACACAUGUAUUUGAGUUUCCAAUCAAUACAAUCAUAGCAUGGAUAAUAAACGAUUAUCACAAAAAAGGAAAUAUAAUAAUAUCAACUUUAUAAUUGCCUCUAGGGCAUAUUUCCAACAGUCUCCCACUUGCACUAGAGUGAAUAAUAUAGUUUUACAUGUUAAUGAAUCUAACACCAAUAGAGUUCUAGCGCUGAUCAUGUUUUGCUCACUGAAGAGGUUUAGUCAACAGAUCUACUACAUUAAGAUCUGCAUGUAUAUUGCAAAUGUUUAUGUCGUCCUCCUUGAUAUAAUCUACGAUGGAAUUGAAACGACGCUUUAUGUGUCUGGUAAUUUUGUGAAAGCUAGGUUCCUUGGCUAGAGCAAUGGCACGAGUGUUGUCACAAAAUAGGGUCAUUGCAUCUAGUGCAGUCGGCACAACUCCAAGAUCCGUCAUGAACUGCUUUAUCCACAUAGCUUCCUUCACUGCUUUCGAAGCAACUAUAUAAUCCACUUCACAUGUAGAAUAAGCUACCAUGCUUUGCUUGGAACUGCACCAGCUUACAGCUGCAUCAUUCAGAAUAAUACAUAUCUGGAUUGAGACUUAGAGUCAUCCGGAUCAGUGCCAAAGCUAGCAUCAAUGUAACCCUUUACGACGAGCUCUUGAUCACCUCUAUAAACGAGAAACAUUUCCUUAGUCCUUUUGAGGUACUUAAGGAUAUUCUUGACCGCUGUCCAGUGUUCCACUCCUGGAUCACUUUGAAACCUUCUAGCCAUACUUAUGGCAAGGCUGACAUCUGGUCUUGUGCACAACAUCGCAUACAUGAUAGAGCCUAUGGCCGAGGCAUAUGGGAUGACACUCAUAUUCUCUCUAUCCUCUGUAGUCGUUGGGCAUUGAGUCUUUACUCAACUUCACACCUUGCAGGACAGGCAAGAACCCCUUCUUGGACUGAUACUUUUUGAACUUCUUCAAAACCAUAUAAGCCUAUGUGCUUUGUGCCUCGAGCUAUCAUUGAUGCCCAAUAUGUAAGCAACUUCUCCCAGAUCUUUCAUUGAAAAACUCUUGUUCAAAUAUAUCUUCAUGCUUUCCAAAAGUUCUAUAUUAUUUCCAAUUAGCAAUAUGUCAUCCACAUAUAAUAUCAAAAACACUAGAGAGCUCCCAAUCACUUUCUUGCAAAUACAAGCUUCUCCAUAAACUUGUAUAAACCAAACGCUUUGACCACCUCAUCGAAGCGAAGAUUCCAACUCCGAGAUGCUUGCACCAGUACAUAAAUGGACCGCUAGAGCUUGCAUACUUUGUCAGCAUUCUGUGGAUCGACAAAACCUUUCGGUUGCACAUAUACAACUCUUCCUUAAGGAAACCAUUAAGGAACACUAUUUUGACAUGCUUCUACGAGAUUUCAUUAUCGAAAAAUCCAGUUGUUGCUAAUAUGAUUCUGUCAGACUAAAGCAUCGCUACGGGUGAGCAAGUAUCAUCGUAGUCAACUCCUUGAACUUGUGAAAACCCCUUUGCAACAAUUCGAGCUUUAUAGACGGUGACAUUACCGUGUGUGUGUGUCAUCCUCUUAAAGAUCCAUUUGUUCUGAAUAGACUUUUGACCCUCAGGUAAUACUUCCAAAGUCCACACUUAAUUUUCAUACAUGGAUCCUAUCUCUAAUUUCAUGGCCUCUAGCCAUUUGUUGGAAUACGGGAACACCAUCGCUUCUCCAUAGCUCGUAGGUUCAUUGGUGUCCAACAACAUGACCUUCAAGACAGGAAUACAGUACCACUCAGGAGUAGUACGUGUCCUUGUCGACCUACGACGUUCGGUAGUAACUUGAUCUGAAGCUUCAUGAUCACCAUCACAAGCUUCCUCUUCAACUCGUGUAGUUGCCACAGGAACAUCGCCCCGCGCCCUGCUGCUCUUUGGUUGAAGUGACGGUUUUCGUCAUCUUGCCCAUGAGGCAUGGUUCACGUGUAUCAAGUGACUCUAAAAGUCCAUCAACAUGGAGCUUAUUCAUCGAUUUUACACCAAUAUGACCUAAGUGCCAGUGCCACAAUAAAGUGGUGCUAUCAUUAUUAACUCUGCAUCUUUUGGCAUCAAUGUUAUAGAUAUGUGUAUCAUCACUAUAUAGAUUCAACAAGAAUAAACCAUUCACAUUGGGUACAUGACCAUAAAACAUAUUACUCAUAUAAACAAAACAACCAUUAUUCACUAAUUUAAAUGAGUAACCGUCUCACAUUAAACGAGAUCCACAUAUAAUGUUCAUGCUCAACGCAGGCACCAAAUAACAAUUAUUUAGGUUCAUAACUAAUCCCAAUGGUAAUCGCAGAGCGAGCAUGCUGACGACGCUCACAUCAACCUUGGAACCAUUUCCCACACGCAUCGUCACUUCAUCCUUUGCCAGCCUCCACUUAUUCUGUAGUUCCUUCUUCGAUUUACAAAUAUGAGCAACCGAUCCGGUAUCAAAUACCCAAACAUACAACGAGAGCUAGUAAUGUACACAUCAAUAACAUGUAUAUCAAAUAUACCUUUGUUGACUUUGCGAGCCUUCUUAUCGGCCAGAUACUUGGGGCAAUUUCGCUUCCUGUGGCCAGUUCCCUUGCAAUAGAAGUACCCAGGCUUAGGCUUGGAUCCAGCCUUGGGUUUCUUCACGGGAGUGGCAACUGCUUUGUCGUUCUUCUUGAGGUUUUCCCUCUUUCUCUUGCCCUUCUUCAAACUAGUGGUUCUAUUCACCAUCAGCACUUGAUUCUCCUUCUUGAUUUCUACUUGCGUGACUUUCAGCAUCACGAAUGGCUCAGAGAUGGACUUGUUCAUCCCUUGCAUAUUAUAGUUCACCAUGAAGCUCUUGUAGCUAGGAUGCUGUGAUUGAAGAACUCUAUCAGUGUCCGUCUCUCGCGGAAUAUCAACUCCCACCUGAGUCAAACGGUUGUAGUACCCAAACAUUGCGAGUAUGUGCCCACUGAUAGAAUUGUUCUCCUCCAUCUUGCAGCAAAUAAUUUAUCGAGGUGUCAUACCUCUCGAUUCAGGCAUUUGCUUGAAAAACAAAGUUCAACUCAUGGAACAUCUCAUAUGCUCCAUGGCGUUCAAUAUGCCUUUGAUGUCCUAAUUCUAAGUCGUACAACAUGGCACACUGAACUAUCGAGUAGUCAUCAGCACACACCUUCCAGACGUUCACAACAUCCACAUGGGACCCUACAGGGGGUGGUGCACCAAGCAGCGCAUCAAUGAUAUAAGCCUUUUGCGAAGCCGCGAGGAUAAUCCUUAGAUUACGGACUCAGCCGCAAAUUUACUUCCAUCAUCUUUCAAGUUAGCUUUCUCUAGGAACACAUUUAAAUUCAGGGGAGCUACUGCGUGAGUGAUUGAUCUACAACAUAAUUUUGCAACGACAACUUAGACUAUGUUCAUGAUAAUGAGUUCAGUUAAUUAUAUUACUUAGGAACUCCCACUCAAAUCAACAUCCCUCAGGUUGUCCGAGUGUAACAUGAUCCAAAUCCACCAACCCAAGUCCAAUCAUCAUGUGAGAUGCGGUGGUUUCAAUGGUGAACAUUUCCAUGUUGAUCAUGUCUAGUAUAUGACUCAUGUUCGACCGUUUGGUAGCUUUUGUUUGUAGGCCAUGUUUGUACAUGUUAGGCUCGUCAAGUUUAGCCCAAGUGUUCUACAUGUGCAAAACUAGCUUACACGCAUUGUAUGCGAAUGUAGUGUCUAUCACACCUGAUCAUCACAAUGUGCUUCAAAAUGAUGAACCUUCGCAAUGGUGGACACUUCGGGAGAACACAAUUUUAUCUUGAAAUUUUAGUGAGGGAUCAUGUUAUAAUGCUACCAUCGUCCUAAGCAAAAUAAGAUGCAUAAAAGUAUUAACAUCACAUGAAAAUCAUAUAAGUGACAUGAUAUGGCCAUCAUCAUCUUGUGGUCUUGAUCUCCAUCUCCAAAGCAUCGGCAUGAUCUCCAUCGCCACAUGCACGACACCAUGAUCUCCAUCAUCGUGUCGUCAUUGGGCUUGUCGCGCCAACUAUGCUUCCACAACUAUUGCUAACUCAUAGCGAUAAAGUAAAGCAAAAAGUCACAAAUAAAUCAAAGACAAUCCUAUGGCUCCUGACGGUUGUCGUACUCAUUGACAUGCAAGUCAUGAUAAUUGUAUACAAAACAGGAUCAUCUCAUACAUCACAUAUACCGCAUCAUGUCUUUGGCAAUAUCACAUCACAAUAUGCCCUACAAAAACAAGUUAGACUUCCAAUACUUUGUUUUUGCAAGUUUUACAUGAUUGCUAUGGGAAACUAUCAAGAACCCUUCUUACCUAGGUGAUAUUCAAGUUGCUAUUUAACCUUCCACAAGGACCGUCUCUGCCAAAUCCGAUUCAACUAAAUUGGGAGAGACAGACACUCGCCAACCAUGUUUAUGCAACUAAGUUACAUGCCAGCCGAUGGAACUGGUCUCUUGUACGUGGACAAGUAAGGUUGGUCCAGGCCGUUUCAUCCCACAAUAUUGCCGAAUGAACAUAAGACUAAGGAAUUAAGCAAUUUGAACAUCAACGCCCCAAAACACUUUAUGUUCUACUUGUACAUAUCAUCUACGCAUAGACCUAGCUCAUGAUGCCACUGUUGGGGAACGUUGCAUGGGAAUCAUAAAUUUUCCUACGACCACCCAUGAUCAAUCUAUGGAGAUCAAAUCUAUGAGAGUGGAAGUGCAUCUACAUACCCUUGUAGAUCGCUAAGCGGAAGCGUUAAGAAACACUGUUGAUGUAGUUGAACGUCUUCGUGAUCCAAUCACGUCCCAAUCAAGUGCCGAACGGAUGCCACCUCUCCGGUCAGCACAUGUACAACUCGAUGAUGCCUUCACCACCUCGAACUAGCGAGCGAAGGUGAAGUAGUAGUUUGAGUUCUCCAACGGCACGACAGUGUGGUGGUGGUGAUGGAGCUGUCGCGGCAGGGCUUCGCCAGGUGCUACCGCAACAGGAACAAGGGAGAAGUACUACCAGAGAGAGGGGGCUACUCCAUGGCUCUUGGGUGCGACUGCCCUCCCUCUCCUGUAGUAUAUAUAGGGGGGAGGAGGACGCUGGGACCUAGGGUUUCCCAUAGGGUGGGGCGGCGGCCACCAAGAGGUGCCUUGGCCCUCAAGGAAGAAGGAGCGACAACCACCUCUCGGCCAGCCCAUCACCUUGGCCUCAUGGGCCUUAGGUGGGAGUGGCGUCCAGCCCACUAGGGGAUGGUGCAACCCCUCUCAUAGUCCAUCGGGCCCUCUUUGGCAGUGGACCCUCCUGGUGGAUCCCCGGAACACUUUCCAAAACCUCCGCACAAAAUUGCUAACUUCCGAAACUCUUCCGGAACUCGAAUACCAACUUCCCAUAUAUCAAUAUUUACCUCGAGACCAUUUCAAAGCCUCUCUUCAUGUCCGGGAUCACAUCUGGGACUCUGAACAACCUUCGUAAACCAACACAAUAACUCAACUAUAUCUAUAUCGUCAUCAAUGUUAAGCGUGCGGACCCUGUGGGUUCGAGAACUAUGCAGACAUUACCGAGAUAGCUCUAUGAUCAAUAAACAAUAGAGGGAACUCAAUGACAUAUUGGUUCAUACGUAUUCUACAAAGCUCUAUAUUGGUCGAACCAUGAUGUCGAGGAUUCAACCAAUUUCGUUUCAGUUUCCUUUAUCCAUCGGUAUGUUACUUGCCCGAGAUUUGAUCGUCGGUAUCUCCAUACCUAGUUCAAUCUCAUUAGCGACAAGUCUCUUUAGUCGUUACAUAAUACAAGAUCCCAUGACUAACUCCUUAGUCACAUUGCUGGCAAGCUUCUUGUGAUGCUGUAUUACCGAAUGGGCCCAGAGAUACCUCUCCGUCAUACGGAGUGAAAAAUCCUAGUCUCAAUCCAUGCCAACUCAAUAGACACAUUCGAACAUACCUGUAGAGCAUCUUUAUAAUCACCCAAUUAGGUUGUUAUGUUUUAUGCACACAAGGAAUUCCUCCGGUGUCAUGUAGUUGGAUGAUCUCAUGGUUAUAGGAACAGAUACAUUGACAUGCAGAAAGCAAUAGCAGUAAACUUGAUAUGAUCAAAUGCUAUGCUUAUGGUUUGGGUCUAGUCCAUCAAAUCAUUCUCCUAAUGAUGUGAUCCCGUUAUCAAAUGCCAAAUCAUGUCUAUGGCUAAGAAAUCUUAACCUUCUUUGUUCAACGACCUAGUCUAGUAUAUGCUUACCACGGACACUUUGUUGUCUAUGUAUUCACACAUGUAUUUGAGAUUCCAAUCAAUACAAUUAUAGCAUGGAUAAUAAACGAUUACCAUAAACAAGGAAAUAUAAUAAUAACCACUUUAUUAUUUCCUUUAGGGCAUAUUUCCAACAAUCCAGUGGUGAGCAUCAUGGAAUUGUUGAUGGAAAAGGGUUGAUGAUGAUAAUAGUGACAAAUCCCCCUGUGUGGAGCCCCAAACGGACUCGAUAUCAGCCCUCCCGAGAAAGAAGGGGAGGUGGCGGCGGCUCCAUCUUGUAAAACAUGAUGAAAUCUUCUAUCUAAUUUUUUCUAUGAAGAUGUCAAUUUAUAGUACUAGAAUUAGGGUCGGAGGAGUCACGUGGGCCCCACAAGCCAUCAAGGAGCGCCUAGGGGGGUGGGCGCGCCCUGUUGCCUUGUGGACCAUAGACAGCCAUCCUCUGGUGGUUCAUCACUCCAUAAUUCAUUGUAGAUUCCAGAAAUAAAUCACAAAAACAUUCAUACAAUUCCAAGGACUUUUAUUAUCUGCACAAAAAUAACACCAUGGUAUUUCUGCUGAAAACAACGUUAGUACGGGUUAGUUCCAUUCAAAUCAUGCAAAUUAGAGUCCAAAACGAGAGCGGAAGUGUUUGGAAAAGUAGAUAAGUUGGAUAUAUAUCAACUCCCCCAAGCUUAAAUAAUUUCUUGUCCUCAAGAAAUUUAGUUGAUAAACUUAAAGUGAUAAAGAAAACUUCUACAAACUCUUUUGUUCUCGAUGCCAUAUAAAUGCUUAGCUAAUGUUCAGGUUUUUAGCAUAAAUCAUAACUAAUCAUAUCCAUGAUAAUAAUUAAGCAUCAUAUUCAAUCAUGGAAAUACAUAACCAACUAGCAAGCAAUAAUAAUAUAUCUCACAUGCCAACAAUUUUUGAAAACAAUCAUGAUAUAAUAUGGUGACAUGGUAUCUCGCUAGCCCUUUCCGAGACCACAAAACAUGAAUGUAGAGCACCUGUGAGGUUGAAGCAACGACUAAGGUUGAAAAAUGACUAAACAUUAUAAUUUAGGGUAGAAAGGAUCCACUUCAUGCUCACAUCCAACAUUAACUAGACUCAAUGCAUAAGAAUGACAAUAGUGCACUCUGGUCUGGUGCUUUUAGGAAGAGAGUGAUGACUCAACAUACAAGUAAAUAUAUAGGCCAUUCGCAAAGAGAAGCAUUGAUUUGUAGAUGUUCUAGAGCUCAAGUUUUAAAACGGGAUUGAGUAUACAGUUUUUGAGUGGUGUUCUUUGCUGUCAACAUUAUGACAAAGGUUUUCACUAUCUUCCAUGCUAAACUCAUUAUUGGUGGUUCCCAAACAGAAUUGUAAAGUUUAGUCCUAUCCACCAUCCAUUCACAAACCUUGGCUUGUCGAAUUCACGGGUGCCCUCCAACAUAUCAACAUGUCCCAAGGAGUUUGGUUUAUUUUAAUUUUGAUUAUGCAGGAGUUGGCAUCCUUUUUACCAACCUCUCCCAUGCAAUGAUGGCGAAUAAACAACCGCCCUGAGAAUAGCUUACUUAGCAUAGACGAUACCGACCGCCCCGUCGCUGCAUGAGCGAUACGAGUGCACAAAAUAAAUGUUUGUUUGAAUAUUUAGAGGUGGCACAUGCAAAUUUACUUGGAACGGCAGGGUAAUACCGCAUAUAGGUAGGUAUGGUGGACUCAUGUGGAAUAUCUUGGUUUCAUGAUUUUGGAUGCACAAGUAGCAUUCCCGCUUAGUACAGGUAAAGGCUAGCAAAAGAAUGGAAAGCAACCAUUUAGAGAAACAAAAUGGUCAUAAACAUGUAUUGAGAAUAAUUAACAUUAAACAUUAGCAUGGGUAGGAUAUGAAUAGUAUACAUUUAACUAUCAUGAAGGCUGCAUUCGUUUUGAAUCAACUACAUGUUUGCACAUGGGCCAAGUCAAGCCGCUCGAAUCACUCAAAGGGAAAUACCGUACUUCCAUACCACAUCAUAACCAUUUUAAUGCAUGUUGACACACAAGAUAAAUCAUUAUCCACUCCUAGCUAUUUAAUCAUGGCAUGAUAAAUUAUAAUCUCUAAUUAUCAUCAUAAAAAUGUUCACUCAUGAUAUACCGAAUCAAGAUCAAACGAGCUAAACAUAUUCACAAAAAUGGAAAACAAGAAGAGUUCAUACCCGUUUCUGUUGCCACUAUCACUUCGUAAAAUAGCAUCAUUAUUGCCUUCCACUUGCAUGACCGAAUGAUGUGAUAAUAAUAACAAUGCAGGUGCGUCAUGGACUAAGCUGAAAUCUGCAAGGUAUUUGUGCAAAGGAGAAGACAUGGUAAUAUUGGCUCUUUGUUAGAACGAUAAUAAAGCAUAUGAGAGCCACACAACAUUCUCAUCGUGGUCUUAUGCUUUCAACGACUCAAAGAAAAGAAAAAAAUUCAAAGAAACACACUCAAAUAUUUUUGGAGUUUUCGCUUGAAGAAAGCAAAAAAUCGAAGGAAAAAGAAAAAUGAGAAAAACUAUUUACACGAAAGCUUCCAACAAGUAAAGGAAAUAUUUUUGUGUUUUAUUUUAAUAUUAAAACUAAUUAAAUUUGAAAUAAAAACCAAAAAUAAGCGAGAAAUAUUUUUGGCUUUUCUAAGAUUUUCAAACACACAAGAGGAAAGCGGGAAAAUAAAACUAACAUGGAUUUACAAUGAAAAAGGAUGAACACCGAUAAUUUAUAUGAAGUGUGUGAACAUGAAUGUAAUGUACGUCACAAAUAUGUACCCCCAAGCUUAGGCGUUUGCCUACCUUGGUGACCACCAUCGCUGGUCUAGAUAGUAGUCGAAGUGGUAGGUUGGGGAAUUGUUGUGUGCGGCCUCCUGUGCCAAGUGAGCUACUUCCAUUGCAGCGUUGUGCUCUUGCACCUCACUCUCAAGAACAUAGUAUCUCCAUUUAUUCGGGAAAAAAGAGCAGGCGUAGGCAAAGUACCUGAAAUAGGAUUAUAUGUAUUAAAUAUUAAUUUAUACUCACAUCCUCUGGCACUAUGCGUAAUUAGGUCAUGACGGCGCAUGGCUUCAAAGUUGAAAUAUCUCUCACGUAGCAUAGGGUCAUUAGGUUGGGGUGAAAUGUUCAGACUUGUGGCUACACGGGCAACAUUAAUACCACAAUAUAGGUCACCACUAUUUGCGUUAGAUUGCAACCUACUAGCAACAAUGGCACCGAGGUUAUAAUGUCUCUCGCCAGUCACCGCUAUAUGAAUAAGGCUCAAAUCGGGACCGCACAAUCCACUAUUAUCGUGCUUACCCACUACACAUUUUCCAUUAAACAGUGCAAAGUAGCGAAUAGAGGGAAAUUGAAUAUUUUUUAUUCUAGCUUGUGUCACCCCUCUAUCUUCUCCAACGCAAAGAGUCUCCAGGAACAAAUUAUAAUCAGAUUUUCACGGUUUUUCUAGCGAGCCCCAAUAGGGGUGUUUGCAUGCCUCGCAAAAUUCCUUUGAAGAUAGACUAUUUUUUGAAUCAUAGAGAUUAAACAACACUCUAGAACUAUGAUGAUGGUAUCGAAAUCCAUGCGUGAAUGUACGAGUAAGAUUAUAGUGUUCGAUACACUUAUCCACGAGGAAGUCAGCGAGGCCGGUAUUCUAAAUGUGCUAAUUGAAUUCCUCCUUAAUGCAUGCACCGCUCAUCAACGCAUCGCAUGGCCAAUGACAUGAUUUAGCAUCUGACAUGACUGUCCGUCUAACUCUGGAAUCCACAUAAGCUUGUCGUACCGAUCCCUCGCCCAAUGACUCACCCAAAGAACGCCUCCUUGAGGAACUACUCAUGAAGAAGUUCAUAUUCUGACACACAAAUUUCAGGAAUUUUUGUACCACAAAACUAUGUGAGUAAAACUUUGCAAGAUUGAUAGCAACUACUCGUAUGGAUGCCCAGAGGACAUAUCAAGCAUUAACGCUACAUGGAACUCAAAGAAUUAAAAUGCAAGCUCAUUUUUAGUAGCACCAAGUGCAGCAAAAUAUUCAAAAUAUAAAUGACUAAAUAAAAAACUAAUUGGAUGAAUGGGGGAGUCACAUACCAAGGAGUAAUUCCUCAAAACAAUUUCGGAAACGGAGUUCCCAGCAAAGGGAUCAAAAAUUCUAGUUUCUAGAGGAAGAACUAGAGAGAGAGAGAGAUCUAGAGAUUUUUUUCUGGAGGUAGGUGAUGAAGUGAGUUGAAGGGAUAAGGCGGGGGCCCCCGUGGGCCCCACAAGCAAUUAGGGCGUGCCGAGGAGGGUGUGCAUGGACUGUUGGCUUGUGGCCCACAGGGGUACCUCGCUGUUGUAAUUUUUGCACGAGAAUUUCUUAAAUAAUCCAGAAAAAUUCAUGUUAAAACUCUAUGGCAUUCUAAGACUUUUUAUUUUUGGGUCAUUUUUCUAUUGCACGAAAACUAAGGAAACAGGAAAAUCAUCGAAUUUGAUUUUGCUUAACUAAGAAUAACAGAGGGUAAACUUGUGAUAUAGAGAGUUAUGAAUGCUCAAUUCAUCAAUCACAUGUCUUUCAAAAAGGAUCUAUUAAUAAGGUUCAUCAAGUCUUACUAAUAGCCGUUUCGGAUUGACAUGAAACCGAAGAAUUUUCAUAUAUCACUAGGUUACCUCAAUGGGGAUUUGCAUCCGCCCAACAAUAAAAUUGUAAUAAAUUCUCUUGGCAAUAGGUAGAGGGAUUUGAAAAUAUCCAAUGAUAAUGUGGCACAAGGAUCAAUGACAUUAAUAUUGUUAUCCAUAGCUUGCUUCUUCGGAAAAUGGACGAUAUGUUGCUUGCCACUGACAUGAAAAGUUACCUUCCUUUUGUUGCAAUCAAUAACAUCCCCUACAGUAUUAGAAAGGGUCUACCAAGGAUGAUCGACAUAUUGUCGUCCUCAUCCAUAUCAAGAAUAACAAUUUUAUUAAGAUAGUAACAUUUGCAAACACAACAGGAACAUCCUCGCAAAUUCUAAUAGGUAAAGAAGUGGUAUUAUCACCCAUUUGCAAAGGUAUCUCAGUGGGUGUAAGAUUAUUCAAAUCUAGUCUUUUAUAGAGAGAUAAAGUCAUAACACUAACACCAGCUCCUAAAUGAGAUAGAUCAGUUUUAACAUAAUUUCUUUUAAUAAAGGAAGGUAGAGUGGGUAUGCCAGGAUUUCCCAACUUCUUAGGUACUCCACCAUCAAAAGAAUAAUUAGCAAGCAUAGUAGAAAUUUCAAUCUCAUGUAUUUUUCUCUUAUUGGUGAUAAUAUCCUUCGUAAACUUAGCAUACGGAGGCAUUUUCAAUAUAUCAAUCAAGCGAGUACGCAAAAAGGUAGGUCUAAUCAUUUCAGUAAAGCGCUCAAAUUCUUCCUUGUCCUUCCCUUUAUAAGGUUUACGAGGGAAGGACUUGGGUUUCUGAACCCAUGUAUCUCUUUCUUUUCCAUGUUUCCUAGCAACAAAGUCUCUUUUAUCAUAGCUUUUAUUCCUAGUGCGUGGGUUAUCAAGAUUUUCAACACGUUCUGUUUCCACAUCAUUAUUAGGUUCCACAUUACUAUCCGGUGGAUCUUCUACAUGAACAUCAUUAUUAUCGUUAUCAUUAUCACUAAGUUCAUGUUCGCUAUUAGAUUGUGUCUCACCAUCAGAAAUAGAAACAUCAUUAUGAUUCUCAACAGGGUUUUCUAUAACAGGUUUACUAGGAGCAUGCAAAUUCUAUCAUUUUUCUUUUCUUUUUCUUCUUAGAAGGACUAGGUUUAUCAUCAUUUAUUCUCUCAGAAUCCCGUUCAAUUCUUUUAGGGUGACCCUCAAGAUAAAGAGGUUCCUGAGUCAUGCAACCUCCUCUAGUCAUCACUCUAACAACAUGAUCAUUCAUAUUAUCAUUUAUUACAGCAAGUAUAUCAUUUCGUGACUUACAACUUGGUCCAGUUGGGUGUGAACCAUAGAUGCAUGUUUAUCUGGACCUUUCACAUCAUUAGCAAUUCUAAACAUCAAGUCACUUAAGCGGUCUAUCAUCAUGGAAUUUCGUCUUAAUUGAUCCUUAACAUAGUUAUUAAAGUGCUUUUUCUUAACAAUGUAAUUAUCAAAUUCAUCCAUGCAUUGACUAGGAGUCUUAGUAUAAGGUAUAUCACUUUCAUUAAAUGAAUGAGGAGAAUUUACCUCUACUACCUAUGUUGGAAUAUCAGGUCCAUGAAUUUCUUUG